rnacentral:rRNA from 1 species
AAAUUGAAGAGUUUGAUCAUGGCUCAGAUUGAACGCUGGCGGCAGGCCUAACACAUGCAAGUCGAACGGUAACAGGAAGCAGCUUGCUGCUUCGCUGACGAGUGGCGGACGGGUGAGUAAUGUCUGGGAAACUGCCUGAUGGAGAGGGAUAACUACUGGAAACGGUGGCUAAUACCGCAUAACGUCGCAAGACCAAAGAGGGGGACCUUCGGGCCUCUUGCCAUC